CAAAUUUGUUCUGACCAAUCAAAAUCAUAACGUAAUAACGUCACUUCCGUAAGCUUCAUGUUCAGCCAAUCAACUACUUUGACGUCAUUGGCAGUCGAAGGACCCCGAGCCGAUCCUGCACCCGAGCAGAUCCUAUACCGACACCGUAAUGGCAGCAAAAGGAAACAAGCUAAAGCUAGCAAAAAUCAUGCAGGAUUAUUUUUGGAAACUACAUCAGCUUUACCUCUAUCACCAGUGUUUGUUCACAACCAUUCCAGAUAACGUAAUUUUGUUUAGGCUACAAGCUCUCAGAACGUACAUGUUAACUUUAGUUUCAUGUAUGUUUUAACCUACAGAAGGAACAUAUUCAUGCUGGAUGCCGCUGAGUAAACUUCUGUCUGUAACACGGAGCUUCCACUUUGGAGCUACAGAUCAGUGUGGCAGCAGCAGAGGAGAACAGCGCUGUGUGUUUGUGUGUGUGUGUGUGUGUGCGUGCACGGGUGUGUGCGUGCGUGUGAGUGUGCCCGUGUGUGUGCGCAUGUGCGUGCGUGUGUGUGAAUGUGCGUGUGUGUGUGUGUGCGCGCGCGCGCGCAUGUGUGUGCGUGUUUGUGUGUGUGUGUGUGUGUGUGUGUGUGCCUGUUCUCUGCAUCGGAGCUCUUGCCCUGGCGAGCAGACAGCUGCCCAGGGGAGAAAGCAGUGUGUGUGUGUGUGUGUGUGUGUGUGUGUGUGUGUGUGUGUGUGUGUGUGUGUGGCACAAGAUUAUGAGGACGCACACAGCAAAUGAAUAAAAUAAUGAGGUUCAGAGUCUCCAAAAGCAACUGUGAACCAUUAAACUGCACAGAGGCGCACCUGUUGGAGAACAGGAGUUCUGACAGAACAAUAUUCUGCUAUUGGUUGACAGAUGCACCGUCGCAUGUGACACAAUUAAGACACCAAUAAGUAAUUGAAAAACAUAAGCCAGUCACUACAACAACAAGAGAGAGGUGCACAUACACUUUAUUUACUAUGGCCGCCUGUCUAUGGUGCUGAAAGAAAAAGAUGCAUCAUCUGCGUUAUUGGAUGAUUUAAUUAAUUAUGAAAAACAAAUAGUUAUUAUUCUUUAAAAGAAAUGUCAUUAACCUUAUGAUAAAACCUAAUUUUAACAGAAGUUCAAAGUUAACGAUUUGGGGCCUUUUAAGAGGAGAUCCUAUCAGGAAAGCUGAUCUCUGGAACACACCCUUCACACAUUUAUAAGUCGUGGGAACGCAUUAAUAUCUCAUGGCCACGAGUUAAUAACUUGUCCCCAAGCAUUAAAUAUCCAAUGGCCAUGAGUAAUUUUUUUCCCUAAUGUCACCAGACACUAGCCUGGCCUGCCAGACUCCUCCUCUGUUAAAUUCUGCACAGAGAAAGGGUGUGGGAACUCUCCUAUUCAAAUAGCCCUGCCCCCUGAGAACUCUAACCAAGCCAAUUAGCGCAGAGUAGCGUACGUCACACAUCAUAACGACUUGGUGACUGAAGCGGAGUUUGCUGCGGCUCUUUCCUCUGGUCUGAAUGACUCGGACACGUCUUUAAAACAACAACAAGUAGAAGCGCUAAAAGCAUUUUUUCUAAAUAAAGAUGCUUGCUCUGUUGCCAGACGGCAUUUUUUUUACUACAGCGUUGCGCGGUACAGUCGUUAUUUCCAUCUUUUUUCUGAUUGGUUAUUUUUGAGCUGCCUAGUCCCGCCCCUCAAGUGCCUCUCUGCCUGUGAGUUACCAGACUCUCUCUCUCUGCAGAAUUAAACAGAGGACGAGUCUGGCAGGCCAGGCUAACCAGACGUGCUCCAUAACAGCCAACUCUAAUAACUUAAAUCUAAAUUGAAAACUUUGAUGUACUCAACAGCCUUUGAAUGACUGUUUCUGAUACUGCACCUUCUGCACUGUAACUGCUCACCCUUUAACUUUAACUUUGUUUCUUUUUAAUUUGUAAAUCUCAAUAGAAUUUGUUUAUAUUUUAGUUGUGCUGUCACGCUGAUUUUAAUGUUCUUGCUAUUCUUGCUAAUUGUAAAGUACAUCGAAUUGCCUCUUUGUAUGAAAUGUGCUCUAUAAAUACAGCUGCCUUGCCUUGUGUGUGUGAGUGACAAAAGGUGCAGCUACAUGUGCUUGUAAUUUGCUACUCUCUUGCCUUGUUUGCACCUCAUAUCUUUCUCCUUUUCCUGUCAUUUAGUUCACCCACACGGGUUCCUCCAUCACCACAUCAAGGCCCGGGCAGCAGCAGAAACCCCACUAAAAUAGAUGCUCCCAAGCACACCGUGGAGGUGGUGUGUACAAGUCCCAAAGCACUGAAUAAACUGCUGCUUAGCUGAACUGUCUUUGCAGUAAGAGGGGGUUUGUUUUUCCAUGUAAACCCUGGUGAAAAGCAAAUGAACUAUGUAAACUAAAUUUGACCCUUUUCCAGGAGUUGCAGCCCCAUCACCUGUCAUGGUCUGGGGUGAGUCCUCCUCUCAGUCUAACCUUCUCUGAGCUUCUCCUGCAGGUGGGCGAAUCAGGGAGUGGAACAGCUGCAGUCCAUCUGCUCAUCAGCUGGCCAGGGACAUGUAAGCUGCUGGGAGACAUCUUCACCUCGCUGGAUGAUAGCUCAACUUGGACUUUCACCACCACCUUCAUCACGUACCUGCAACCCAUCCGGACCCGUCCCUUUGUCUACCAGCCAGUCUCCGGUCAUCCACUCCUCCCUGACCACCCACCUGACCGGAUCCGUCCUCGCUCGUGUGCUCAGCUCCUCCAGUCCAGCAACCUGGAACCCCAGUCUCCUGUUAACCGGCAAGUGUGUGUCUCUGAUCCCCCACUCCUCCCGGACCACCCCAGACCAAGCUACUCCCCCUUGUCAAGCUCCCCCCGGACCACAAUCAUAUCUUCCGGAGUCCCAACUGGAUUUUCCCGCUGCGCUUUUUGUUUACUUUUUUAUAAUAAACCUUAUUUCUUCAUAUCCGGUCUCAGUGUAUGAUUCUGCAUGUCGUGGGUUAGACACCUUCCCCCCAACAUGACAUCACCAGUAACCAGUGGCAGACUGGCCAUGUUCUAGGGCUGGUGUGGCGACCCGUUGGAGAUUCCCAUCGAUAGAGCAGGCUGCAGCAACGUCCAGCCUCCAGCCCAAGUGGGGCAGUACAGCCACUUCUAAUUUUGAGUAUUUCCAGUAAUUUAUUUGUCAAUCUCCAAGAUUUCAGCCACAGUCCUCCAUGAGGAGCUGCAUCACUGCAGUGAGGCACGCUGCACGUAGCAGAGAAGAAAAUAAAAAGAGACGAGUUUUCCGGCACCACGCAUGUUCCCGCUAUGAGUGACAGCAGCAGCAUUUACUCACCCAGUGGUUAAAUGCACCGACAGGCAGGUGGUUCCAUGGAGAAAAUGAAUAAGAAACAAUCUUUUAUAUAGUGCCUCUCCAGAUAAAAAUCAUGAGGCGCUUCACAAGAACAAAUAUUAAAAAUUAAAAAAGGAAAAAAAAAGAGCUGGAUAGAUGACAUCCAAACGGAAAUGGUGAGCAAGCAGGAGAAAGCAAAUGUUAAAACAAGAGGAGUGUGCUUCAUUUGAAAAUGGGCAACUGUGUGGUCAUAAACAUCCAGCUGCUGCUGAUCAUGCAACAGAAGAGAGGAUCAUUCUAUCUGGAUGUGAGCUGGAGAUUAGAUUCCCCAGCAGCCCUGAUUAUCAUUUAUUAAAUAUCUUGAUGCAUGAACCUUCACCUUUGGCUUAUACUUAGUCUUUCUAAUACUUUGGUUCACACUUGGUUCAAUGGUAUUACUGGUGUAUAUAUGAAUAAGAUGUAGGAAAACAUCCAUACUGGCCUAAUGACCUGGUCUAUCAUCAGCUCAGCUCAGAAGCGGCACAGCAUCAGAUGGUCUCAUUGAUGACUUUGUAUCCAGAGGAAGGAGACGUGCAUCUGCAGAAGGUCUCUUCCAUUGUUGAAAGAAGUUGUUCAUUUAAUCAUAAUAACUACUACUGUAGGACUAAAUAGCAUUGGUAUUGCACUGCUUUCCCCUCCUGAGGCGCCAGGGCUCUGGUCGGCUGCCUCAACAACGGAGGCACAGAACAAGGCCCAUUCGGACUCAAUGUCCCCUGCCUCCCCGGAAUGUUUUGGAAGUUCUGUCGGAGGAGGGAACUGAAGCUCUUUGUGACAUGUUUGAGCCUGCCAGGAAUGACCGGCACCCUCCCCCACCAUCGGAGCCAAGCACACCUUUUCGUUAUAUCCCUACUUUACAGAGCAAUAAUGUAAUUCAUCCUUGUCUAAGUAGGAUUAUUACUAGUCAAAUUGAGAAUACAGAUAAACAGGCAUUUUGUUAGUGCUAGAACUUUUAUUUAAGGAUAUCCAACAACUACACUGAUUUGAGAGAUACUCAAACCCCUGAAAAAGUCUAAUGUUGUCACGGUUGGAGGUGAGUGACACACCUAUUACUCAGUGGCGGCUGGUGAAAAAUAUUUUUGGUGGGGCUGUGCUAUUUUUAAUUUUCAAACAAACUUGUGCUUUCUGAGCUUUGUGCACAACUUCACUAUUUCCUGAAUUAAGCACAGCUCUUUUAUUUCCUGUCUUACAUCACUGGACAAACUGAUUAAUCCAGGUGUGUCUGACUAUUGGCAUGCUUCCUUGCGGACCAAGGUUGAAAAAUACUGCAUUAAAUUGCACAUAAAAUAACAUGACCAUAAAUGGUAAAUAGGCAAUGCAAGAGGCAAGUAACAAAAACAUUUUGUUUAAUUUCAACAUUUGAGUGAACACAAAAAAUUAUGAGCAGGUCACUGUUACAGUAAUGGUAGUAAACACUACUUAGACAAAAUGCCAGAAAUUUACACUGUUAAAUAUUUCUGGAGUGUUGUGCCAAGGUCAAAUUUAUACAAAGAUCAAGAGGAUGCAUUUGUGUGUGUGUGAUACCUUAUUUGUACAGAAAUUUUGCCCUUCUGUCCUUCUGAGUUGCAAAGCUCUCGAUGAGCUUUUUAUUGAAGUCAGGAAUGUUUGUGACAAGAUUUUUUUCCAAGGAGAGCAUGGCAAGAGCAUUCAGCCCAUCCUGUGUCAUGGUGUUCCUCAGGAAAGUCUUAAUCCUCUUUAAAGUAGAUAAAUAAAAAAACAACAGAUAAGUACAUAGGAAACACUUUCAUUGGAAAUAAUGUCAUCAGUAUCCUCUUACAAAUGUCAUAUUUCCCAGUUUUUGGGACAAUAAAAUAUUUCUGAUUCUCAAUCAGAUGUUUUUACAUUUGAGGUAAAAACAUCUCAUUGAGAAUCAGAAAUGUUUUAUUGUCCCAAAAGCUGGGAAAUUUGUUUGCUGCAGCAGAAGUGUAACAAGUAAAAUGGAAUCAGAUUGAUGUAUGUACAAAUUUACAUGAAAUACACAUUUAAGUGAUUAAAUAUGUAUAAUAAGUAUGCGUAUUGAAAUGAGUUUUUACAGUUAUUGCACAUUAAACAAUGUACAUGUUAUUAAACAAAUGUCCCGGUUUGUGGGACAACCAAGGAUUUCUGAUUCUGAUUGUCUUGUUCACAGAAAUGUAAUGUGCAGCUUACCUCUGCACCCAGCUGCUGUUCUCCCUGUCCAAACGUCCUCCGUUUCUUCCGUUUCCCUCGUCGAGCUGCAUGGCAAUGUUAGCUCUGCCUAGCAUGGCUAGCUUCACCGUGUUGUUGUCCAUGUGUGCCCGGGAUGACUCGUGUUUCUUCACCUUCUCAGAAAAAUGUUUCAUGUCCUUAACUCCUGACUCAAUCCAUGCCUUAUCUGUCCCAGUCGUUUUGAAUAACAAACACGGAAAGCAAAAUAACGCAUUAGCGUGAUUGCAUCCAGCUAGCCAAGCCUUCCUGGUGUACCAAUUUCAGGAGAAGCCUCGUGUGUACAGUUUACCUCUCUCCUUGUCCUGCUGGCUUAUCCUUACGUCGGGCUGAUCUGGUCCAAGCUCUUUGACAUUAAGUUUUUCCACCAUAGUUCUCCUCUCGAACGGAUACUGGAGAAGAGACCGAACUGAAUUCAGUGGCUGCUGAGAUCCGGUAUCUCACUGGCGGCGUCCAUGUUACAUCUGCGUCACGACCAAAAACGACUCUGCCGAGUUCUACCGAACCAACGAAAGCCUUUGGCGGUAGCUCUAUCGCCCAUCAUGCUUCUGAAACAACGUCGACGCUGAUUGGAUACAUUCCCAUUCCUACCGUUUGAUUUUCUUGUCAGCAAUUGGUCGGCGGGUUCCGUGCAGUUUGGGCGAUUCAAAAACAGCCUACAGCCUUUCUGUCGCCUCCACCGCUCGGCAGAGAGCUUCUCAUCAAUAUAGAUAUAUAAAUAUAUGAUUUGUUUUUAA